UACGAAGGGUGCAAGCGUUAAUCGGAAUUACUGGGCGUAAAGCGCGCGUAGGUGGUUUGGUAAGAUGGAUGUGAAAUCCCCGGGCUCAACCUGGGAACUGCAUCCAUAACUGCCUGACUAGAGUACGGUAGAGGGUGGUGGAAUUUCCUGUGUAGCGGUGAAAUGCGUAGAUAUAGGAAGGAACACCAGUGGCGAAGGCGACCACCUGGACUGAUACUGACACUGAGGUGCGAAAGCGUGGGGAG
rnacentral:rRNA from 1 species